GACAUACAAGUAGUAGGAAGGAAACUGGACCGACCCUUCGGGAGCUUGUACAGGUGCUGCAUGGCUGUCGUCAGCUCGUGUCGUGAGAUGUUCGGUUAAGUCCGCUAACGAGCGCAACCCUCGCCGUGUGUUACAAGUGUCACACGGAACUGCCGGUCAUAAACCGGAGGAAGGUGGGAUGACGGUCAAGUCAGCAUGGCCUUUAUAUCCUGGGCUACACACACGCUACAAUGGUCGGUACAAUAGGUUGCCAAGCCGCGAGGCGGAGCCAAUCCAAAAAAGCCGGCCUCAGUUCAGAUUGUAGGCUGCAACUCGCCUGCAUGAAGAUGGAGUUGCUAGUAACCGCAGGUCAGCAAUACUGCGGUGAAUACGUUCCCGGGUCUU
rnacentral:rRNA from 1 species